rnacentral:lncRNA from 1 species
UUUUUCACUCCACAUUUGAUCACACGUUUUUGCCUUCAAGUUUCCAAGUGCUCAAGUGUCCUAGCUUUCCAAAAGCUUCAAAAGCUCUUCAACUUCUUCUUCUUCUAAUCUUCUUGUUCAUCUCUACAAGUAAGAAGUGUUGUUAGCUUAAAUAUUCCACUCCUCUAAUCACCUCUUUUGUGUGUCCACUUUGGUUGAGAGGGUUGUCUCAAUAUCACCAAAGUGUGAGAGAAGGUUUUUGAGCUCAACUAUAAAGCUCUAGUUUGGUUUUAUAGAGUUUUCAGGAAAACUCUUAGGUCGAAUCUACCUUGAAAGAUUUCUAGAUUUUUAAGAGUUCCUUGAUACUCUAAGGUACUAACUUACCCGUAAAAGUUAGAGGUUUUUAAG